rnacentral:lncRNA from 1 species
CCGUUCUUUCUAGUGAGUUUUUUCUCGUCCCUUUAGGGACCAUUUACCUUGCCCUAAGUGGCUUUCUUUCUUCUAGUUCUGUCUGUAUUGAGCUUUCGUAUCGUAACACGGUAGCCUUUGGGAAAACCUAUGGCUGGAUUGAAUCCCUAUUUCUUAAGGCAAGGGGCCAGGCUUAUAGCUAGCUCUUAGUGCUUCAGGCUAAACGGAAGAAGGUCGGGCCCUUGACUCCAUGCUCAUGGCAGCCCG